AAGUUGGGUGGGGCCAGAUGCUAAAGCUUGAGUAUCUGGGCUGGUGGUGUUCUUGUGCCUUUAGAGGCAAGGCUUGGCUGAAAGGAGAAAGGGGCACAGCGCCUGGGUCUCAAGAGAAGGGGAUAGGUCUUCUGAUGUCGCCUCUUACCCUGUUGCAAACGCCAGGAGGACAGAGAGGAAAGCCAGCAGCUUUUAGAGGACAGGUUUGAUCUCCAGGCUUAGCUGUGCGUCACUUCCUGCCAGGAAGUCUGGGACUCUGUGCACCAGAGUGUUUUCGGAGAAGGAUACUAGGAUUACACACCCCUCCAAAUGAUCCUCAGCUCAACUCCAUUUGGCUCUUUGAGAGGGCCCCCCAAAACCUGGAUCCUCCCCUGUCCCCUGCCCUCGGGGAGCUGCCCAGAUCCACAGCCACCCUUGGAGCACAGCCAGCCAGAAAGGCGGAAUUGCAGAUGGCAGAGCUGUGUGCAGCUGUGGGACUCCUCAAAGCCGUCUUGGGUUAUAUUCCUGGAAAAGGCACUGCAGGACAAAAAGAAGAAGCUGAUCUUGCUCCUUUUCCACGGAUUGAGCUUUAGAACAUUCUGGGGCUGCCGGAUGCUGUUCAGUGGGUGCUGAGGGGUAGAGACCCUACGGUCUCCCACCGCGAGCCUCGCUGUCCUCCUGCUGCCAGAUUUGCCAGAGAGAAUGCUUGAUGCCGCCGGGCCCUCCCGCCAGGCAGACCUCUGACAAAGUCACCACCAGAGGGGACUUUCAGCCAGGGCUGGCUCCAGUCAGCUUCUGAAACAAGAGGUGCUUUCUUCCUUGCACAACCUUCAGAGAAAAGGGGAACAACUUGACAUCCCAAAGGGCUUCUUGGAAGCAGGGGACAAGGUUAAUCAAGGAAAGAUGGGGCAGGAGGCAUCGAGGGCCCCCUGACUGGUGCUCUGAAGCUUGUGCUUUUUGACUUUGGCUGGGAGAGGGGCAACCAUUUAAGAAAGUGGGUAGGAACAGGGUGAAUAUGGUAUAAUGUAAAUAUAAUGUUUUUAAUUGUUUUCUUUUCACUGGAACUUUCUUUGUGAUAAGUAUAAAAAUAGCACACACACCUUCAGAGAUUCUGCUGCAUCUUGCCCCAGAACGUUGCCCUCUUUGAGAAUUAUUGUUUUUCUGUGUAUCUGCACUAGCUAAGACCAUUUUAUCAAGCCCGACUUACUCUAGUUUUUAUUAUAAAAAAUAAUUUUUAUUUUCCAAAUACAGAAUUAUAGUAUCAUUUGGAUAUGCUUUUUCAAUCUCUGUGUAAAUCCCAAAUUGGAGAUUAAGCUCCCCCAUCCCUCCCCAUUGGAGAAUCACUGAAUCACUGCCCUAAUAUCCAGCACGAGAAAGCAGAAAGCAUUGGCCGUGCUGGGCCGGGACUCUUCCAGGACCCAGUUGUCUCUUGGCCGAGUCGCUCUCCCCAUCCCUCGACAUCAGGGUCUUCUUUGGUCAUUGGGCCCACAGUAAGAAAUUCAGUAAGUAUACGUUGCAUGAAUCUUACACUAUUGAAUUAUCAUCACAUGCUUGGCACAGUGCUAGCACCUGGUGUGUGCCAAGGUACACCUAAGUGUUAGCUGUUGUUCCUAAGCUCCCCGACACGCUGCCUCCUCCACGUGUCCUGUAGUCUGCCCUCUGUUAGGAAGCUCUGGCAGCAAAGAUGCUAAUUUCUUAAGGUGCCCUGGAACAGCUCUCAGCAUCCUCUGUUCCGCAGAACUAUGUGUCACCUCCAGAUGGUGACCAACUGUCCAGAUACCGGCUUCUUUAGGUCAUGUCAGAAGCCUAGUACAGUGCUCACACACAGGAGGGCUCACCGAAUGUUUGUUGAGGGCGUGAGUGGCAGGCCCGGUGCCCUCCACUCAGCAGCCUCUGCGG
ensembl:lncRNA